rnacentral:rRNA from 1 species
GAUGAACGCUAGCUACAGGCUUAACACAUGCAAGUCGAGGGGCAGCAUGAACAAAGCUUGCUUUGUUUGAUGGCGACCGGCGCACGGGUGCGUAACACGUAUCCAAUCUGCCCGCGGCUCGGGGAUAGCCCAUCGAAAGAUGGAUUAAUACCCGAUGGCGUAGUCACUCCGCAUGGAGUUUCCACUAAAGGUUUUCCGGCCGCGGAUGAGGAUGCGUAUGAUUAGGUAGUAGGCGGGGUAACGGCCCACCUAGCCUCCGAUCAUUAGGGGUUCUGAGAGGAAGGUCCCCCACACUGGAACUGAGCCACGGUCCAGACUCCUACGGGAGGCAGCAGUGAGGAAUAUUGGUCAAUGGGCGAGAGCCUGAACCAGCCAAGUAGCGUGAAGGAAGACUGCCCUAUGGGUUGUAAACUUCUUUUGUUCGGGAAUAAAGUGCAGUACGCGUACUGUUUUGUAUGUACCGUUCGAAUAAGCAUCGGCUAAUUCCGUGCCAGCAGCCGCGGUAAGAC